rnacentral:rRNA from 1 species
GCAGAAUCGAGAGCUUGCUCUCGGGUGACGAGCGGCGGACGGGUGAGUAAUGUCUGGGAAACUGCCUGAUGGAGGGGGAUAACUACUGGAAACGGUAGCUAAUACCGCAUAAUGUCGCAAGACCAAAGUGGGGGACCUUCGGGCCUCAUGCCAUCAGAUGUGCCCAGAUGGGAUUAGCUAGUAGGUGGGGUAACGGCUCACCUAGGCGACGAUCCCUAGCUGGUCUGAGAGGAUGACCAGCCACACUGGAACUGAGACACGGUCCAGACUCCUACGGGAGGCAGCAGUGGGGAAUAUUGCACAAUGGGCGCAAGCCUGAUGCAGCCAUGCCGCGUGUGUGAAGAAGGCCUUCGGGUUGUAAAGCACUUUCAGCGGGGAGGAAGGCGUUAAGGUUAAUAACCUUGGCGAUUGACGUUACCCGCAGAAGAAGCACCGGCUAACUCCGUGCCAGCAGCCGCGGUAAUACGGAGGGUGCAAGCGUUAAUCGGAAUUACUGGGCGUAAAGCGCACGCAGGCGGUCUGUCAAGUCGGAUGUGAAAUCCCCGGGCUCAACCUGGGAACUGCAUUCGAAACUGGCAGGCUAGAGUCUUGUAGAGGGGGGUAGAAUUCCAGGUGUAGCGGUGAAAUGCGUAGAGAUCUGGAGGAAUACCGGUGGCGAAGGCGGCCCCCUGGACAAAGACUGACGCUCAGGUGCGAAAGCGUGGGGAGCAAACAGGAUUAGAUACCCUGGUAGUCCACGCCGUAACGAUGUCGAUUUGGAGGUUGUGCCCUUGAGCGUGCUUCCGGAGCUAACGCGUUAAAUCGACCGCCCUGGGGAAGUUACGACCGCAAAGAUUUAAACUCAAUUGAAUGACGGAGCCGCAACAAAAGCCG